CACAAAUUCUAGUAUUUUCCCAUUGACUUAUAUACUUUUGACCAGGAUAAUUCUCUCUUUACUACCUUCAUUCUCAUUUAUUUCCACCUUAAAUUCCUUUGAAUUGGCAACAUUUCUUACCUUUACAUUCAUCAGCCCUUGAUAUUUUGAACCAAACCUAACAAAAGCUAUGCAUCCAAAAACAAUCAAGAGAGAAAAGAACGGAAGAGCCAACCCUCUAGCAACAAAACAUAAAAAUACCCCUUCUACGUCCAAUUAUCAUUCCUCUCCUUGUUUAUUCAACAACUUCAUUUUCUUAAGAAUCCCAAAACUAGCUCGUUCAGUCGGUGCAGAAUCAAUCUUAAGGUCGUCUUGUUCGGAAGGAAAAACACCCACAAGGAAUGAAUAUUGGAUGGAUUGAGUCUUGGAGCAAAAGAAAG